CUCUCUCUCUUUCUCUCUCUCUCUCUCUCUCUCUCUCUCUCUCUCUCUCUCUCUCUCUCUCGCUCGCUCCAUAUCCGCCCCCCUCUCUGUAUGUCUUGCGGUGCUGUAGCACAACGGAAGGAGUCGAAACAAGUUCAUUGGUCAAUUAGGUCUCAAAACCAGGAGCAAGAUUCCAUCACCCUCACUUGUUACUAUUCUCGGCUUGGCUUGGUUUCUGAGUCUGUGUCAUACUGCCCCCCUGUGGUGACGGUGACUCUCUGCUCCCUCACAGGAUUAUAUAAGCUAUUUUUAUUUUAGGGGGGUGAGUCAUCGUCCUUGAGUGAGGACAGACAGGGUGUAUGAGAGAGACUGAAAAAGGGGGAGGGACUCCUGUGGGGGGGGGGGGGGGGGAUGCUGUUGCGUGGGUGAUGGGUAAUGGAUUUGGGGAUUUUCCCUGUUUUUUUUUUACUCUCUUUAUUUUCGGGGGGGAUCUGUGCUGGGGUUCACCUGCUGGCUCCAGCCUAGCCUGUUUCUUCAUGAGGGCACAGGUGCUGUGGGAUCCGUACGGUCUGCCGCUGCCGCUGCCUCUCCGGUGGCAAUGGGAUGUUUGAUCUUCCAUCUCCUGCUCACUCUCUCUUUUUGAGGUCAUUGAGGUUUUCUUCGUGUAGAUCUACUCAGUUAGAUUAGAUGCUGGCUCUGCAUUUAAUUACAUCAAGGCUGACUAUACGUGUCACAAGCAUUGCAGCACUACAAGAAAUCAAGCAACAAGAAAGAACCCGUAUCCAUAAUCUGUACUGCUGGCACACCGGAGGUGAAGCCUCUCACUGUGCCGUGU